AGAGUUUGAUCCUGGCUCAGGACGAACGCUGGCGGCGUGCCUAAUACAUGCAAGUAGAACGCUGAAGGAAGGAGCUUGCUCUUUCCGGAUGAGUUGCGAACGGGUGAGUAACGCGUAAGUAACCUGCCUGGUAGCGGGGGAUAACUAUUGGAAACGAUAGCUAAUACCGCAUAAGAGUAGAUGUCGCAUGACAUUUGCUUAAAAGGUGCAAUUGCGCCACUACCAGAUGGACCUGCGUUGUAUUAGCUAGUUGGUGGGGUAACGGCUCACCAAGGCGACGAUACAUAGCCGACCUGAGAAGGUGAUCGGCCGCUCUGGCACUGAGACACGGACCAAACUCCUACAGGAGGCAGCAAUAGGGAAUCUUCGGCAAUGGACGGAAGUCUGACCGACCAACGCCGCGUGAGUGAAGAAGGUUUUCGGAUCGUAAAGCUCUGUUGUAAGAGAAGAACAAGUGAGAGAGUGGAAAGUUCACACUGUGACGGUGUCUUACCAGAAAGGGACGGCUAACUACGUGCCAGCAGCCGCGGUAAUACGUAGGUCCCGAGCGUUGUCCGGAUUUAUUGAGCGUAAAGCGAGCGCACGCGGUUAGAUAAGUCUGAAGUUAAAGGCUGUGGCUUAGCCAUAGUACGCUUUGGAAACUGUUUAACUUGAGUGCUAGAGGGGAGAGUGGAAUUCCGUGUGUAGCGGUGAAAUGCGUAGAUAUAUGGAGGAACACCGGUGGCGAAAGCGGCUCUCUGGCUUGUUACUGACGCUGAGGCUCGAAAGCGCGAGGAGCAGACAAGAUUAGAUACCCUGAUACUCUGCGCCGUAACGAUGAGUGCUAGGUGUUAGACCCUUUCCGGGUUUAGUGCCGUAGCUAACGCAUUAAGCACUCAGCCUGGCGACUACGACCGCAGGUUGAAACUCAAAGGCUCUGA
rnacentral:rRNA from 1 species